rnacentral:rRNA from 1 species
UACAGAGGUGGCAAGCGUUGUUCGGAAUUACUGGGCGUAAAGGGCGCGUAGGCGGUUCGUUAAGUCCUGUGUGAAAUCCCCCGGCUCAACUGGGGAACUGCACAGGAAACUAGCGGGCUUGAGUUCGGGAGAGGGAAGCGGAAUUCCGGGUGUAGCGGUGAAAUUCGUAGAUAUUAGGAAGAACACCAGUGGCGAAGGCGGCUCACUGGCCCGGAACUGACGCUGAAACGCGAAAGCGUGGGGAGCAAACAGG